rnacentral:snRNA from 1 species
AGGUCCACAAGGCAAAUCC